UACAGAGGGGGCAAGCGUUGUUCGGAAUUACUGGGCGUAAAGCGCACGUAGGCGGACAUUUUAAGUCAGGGGUGAAAUCCCAGAGCUCAACUCUGGAACUGCCUUUGAUACUGGGUGUCUUGAGUAUGGAAGAGGUGAGUGGAAUUCCGAGUGUAGAGGUGAAAUUCGUAGAUAUUCGGAGGAACACCAGUGGCGAAGGCGGCUCACUGGUCCAUUACUGACGCUGAGGUGCGAAAGCGUGGGGAGCAAACAGGG
rnacentral:rRNA from 1 species